rnacentral:rRNA from 1 species
UCCACACUGGGACUGAGACACGGCCCAGACUCCUACGGGAGGCAGCAGUAGGGAAUCUUCCACAAUGGACGAAAGUCUGAUGGAGCAACGCCGCGUGAGCGAUGAAGGCCUUCGGGUCGUAAAGCUCUGUUGUUAGGGAAGAACAAGUACCGGAGUAACUGCCGGUACCUUGACGGUACCUAACCAGAAAGCCACGGCUAACUACGUGCCAGCAGCCGCGGUAAUAC